UACGUAGGGCGCAAGCGUUGUCCGGAAUUAUUGGGCGUAAAGAGCGUGUAGGCGGUUUGGUAGGUCCGCUGUGAAAACUCGAGGCUCAACCUCGAGACGCCGGUGGAAACCAUCAGACUAGAGUCCGGAAGAGGAGAGUGGAAUUCCUGGUGUAGCGGUGAAAUGCGCAGAUAUCAGGAAGAACACCCGUGGCUAAGGCGGCUCUCUAGUACGGUACUGACGCUGAGACGCGAAAGCGUGGGGAGCGAACCGG
rnacentral:rRNA from 1 species